rnacentral:tRNA from 1 species
AUUUAAAUAAUAUAAACAUUAUACUUAACUUCCAAUUAAGAAAUCUACUAAGUAGUUUAAAUA